AACGAACGCUGGCGGCAUGCCUAACACAUGCCAGUCGAACGAGACCUUCGGGUCUAGUGGCGCACGGGUGCGUAACGCGUGGGAACCUGCCCUUAGGUUCGGAAUAACUCCCCGAAAGGGGUGCUAAUACCGGAUAAUGUCUUCGGACCAAAGAUUUAUCGCCUUUGGAUGGGCCCGCGUUGGAUUAGCUAGUUGGUAGGGUAAAAGCCUACCAAGGCGACGAUCCAUAGCUGGUCUGAGAGGAUGAUCAGCCACACUGGGACUGAGACACGGCCCAGACUCCUACGGGAGGCAGCAGUGGGGAAUAUUGGACAAUGGGCGAAAGCCUGAUCCAGCAAUGCCGCGUGAGUGAUGAAGGCCUUAGGGUUGUAAAGCUCUUUUACCCGGGAUGAUAAUGACGGUACCGGGAGAAUAAGCUCCGGCUAACUCCGUG
rnacentral:rRNA from 1 species